rnacentral:misc_RNA from 1 species
AAGAGCUCCACGCUACACAGGGCUUGCUCGAAAUCUCAAGCGUCAUCAACAAUGGCAGACAGCCAGAAGCAAGACCAAGACAAAGAUCAAUACGGCAUUCUUCUUUAUUACAAAUACACUUCAGUUCCCGAUCUACAUUCCCUCCUUUCUUUUUACCAGUCCAAUUGCAGCUCUCUUUUUCUUCUCGGCCGCGUCCGCCUGUCUCCCAACGGCGUCAAUGUCACCGUUGGUGGUACACUUUCGUCGCUGGAGAAGCAUAUAGCGGCAGUGAAAUCGAUUAGUUUAUUUGAAGGGACAGACUUCAAACUCGCCUCUUCCCAUUAUCCUUUGAACGAUGAGGUUGCUCGCGAGUGCGGUUUCACUUCACUAUCCAUUCGGAUCGUCAAGGAAUUGGUUACUUUUAGCUCUCAUCCUCUGUUAAAAGCACCAGAUAUCUCAAAUGCUGGAACUCAUCUCUCUGCACUUGAGUUCCAUUCUGUUCUUCAGAGUGCUCAGCAAUGUGUAGAGAAUGAGGGUCCUACUGCCAAUGGAGGACUUGUUGUAUUAGAUGCAAGGAAUUUAUAUGAAACAAGAAUUGGGAAGUUCCAUAUGCCUAAUGUGGAAACUUUGGAUCCAGAAAUCAGGCAGUAUAGUGAUCUACCCUCCUGGAUAGAUGAUAAUUCCGAACAAUUGCGAGGCAAACGUGUGCUCAUGUAUUGCACUGGAGGAAUCAGGUGUGAGAUGGCAUCAGCAUAUAUUAGGUCGAGAGGUGUUGGAUUUGAAAAUGUAUUUCAAUUAUUUGGUGGAAUACAACGAUAUUUGGAACAAUUCCCUGAUGGUGGCUUUUUCAAAGGAAAGAAUUUUGUGUUUGAUCACCGUAUUUCUGUUGGGAGUUCAGAUGCAAAUAUUUUGGGUACCUGCCUUCUAUGCGACAUGCCCUUUGAUGACUAUUCUUCACGUUGCAGAUGCUCUUAUUGUAGAAUGCUUGUUUUGGUCUGUGAUAGUUGCCAAAUGAGGGAAGCUGUCUAUGUUUGUGAGUUAUGUCAGAAACAUGGCAAGGUUGUUGGCUUAAUUCCGUCAACUGAAAAUAGUAAGCCAGAGGAAACAAUGCCAGAUGGUGAACUUGCAUGCAUUCCCUCGGAUACUGCAUUCUUGUGCCAACUGCAUCAGGGACAUGGUAAGGUGUUGAUCUCCCCAGAAAACUAAGAAUCCUAUGCUUGCAUGGCUUUCGUCAAAAUGCCUCUGGUUUUAAAGGAAGAACUGCAUCUUUAGCCAAGAAACUUAAAAACAUUGCUGAACUUGUCUUUAUUGAUGGACCCCAUGAAUUGCCUUUCAUUUACCAACCUUGCAUAACAGAACCAGGGCACAAUAAUGCAUCACUAUCACAAGAAAUUUUCCCUCCAAAAGAUAACUGCAAGAAGAAGUUUGCAUGGUUGGUAGCACCUGAUUUCAUAGGAAGGAGUGAAAUUGACUGGAAAGUGGCAGAUGGUCCAUUUGAUCCCCUCCAGUAUCAGCAGCAAACUGAGGGUUUUGAUGUAUCAAUAGCAUAUUUGAGCACUGUAUUCUCUCAGGAAGGGCCUUUUGAUGGGAUCUUAGGAUUUUCACAGGGAGCAGCGAUGGCUGCUUCAGUUUGUGCGCUAGAAGGGAGACUAAAGGGUGAAAUCAAUUUCAGAUUCGCAGUCUUGUGCUCUGGAUUUGCUAUUCAACAUGCAGAGAUCAAGCGAGGAUCAAUUAACUGCCCCUCACUUCAUAUAUUUGGCCGUGAUCUGGGCAAGGACAGGCAGAUUGCAAACCAAGCCAGCAGAGACCUGGUUUCCUUGUUUGAAGAGGAUUCAUCAGUUAUUAUUGAGCAUGACUGUGGUCACAUCAUUCCUACUCGACAUCCUUAUAUUGAUCAGAUUAGAGGCUUUCUAGAACGUUUUCUUUGAAAUGAUUGAU